CACGUAGGGCGCAAGCGUUGUCCGGAAUUAUUGGGCGUAAAGAGCUCGUAGGCGGUCUGUUGCGUCCGCUGUGAAAACCCGGGGCUUAACCCUGGGCUGGCAGUGGAUACGGACAGACUAGAGGUAGGUAGGGGAGAAUGGAAUUCCAGGUGUAGCGGUGAAAUGCGUAGAUAUCUGGAGGAACACCGGUGGCGAAGGCGGCAUUCUGGACCGACAUUGACGCUGAGGAGCGAAAGCCAGGGGAGCAACGGG
rnacentral:rRNA from 1 species